UAAAGCACUUUCAGUGGGGAGAAAUGGCCUUUUGCUAAUACCAAGAGGAAGUGAUGUUACCCACAGAAGAAGCACCGGCUAACUCUGUGC
rnacentral:rRNA from 1 species